rnacentral:rRNA from 1 species
UACGUAGGUGGCAAGCGUUGUCCGGAUUUACUGGGCGUAAAGAGCGCGCAGGCGGUCGUUCAAGUCGCGUGUGAAAGCCCCCGGCUCAACUGGGGAGGGUCACGCGAUACUGAUCGACUCGAAGGCAGGAGAGGGAGGUGGAAUUCCCGGUGUAGUGGUGAAAUGCGUAGAUAUCGGGAGGAACACCAGUGGCGAAGGCGACUUCCUGGCCUGUUCUUGACGCUGAGGCGCGAAAGCUAGGGGAGCAAACGGG